GUUUCAGGCUGUGCUUGACGCCAUGAAAAGGCGACGCUGGGAUGUGUGCGUGGCUGUUGCGCAGGAAAGAAUGCAGUCUUCGCGUUGCGUCUGUUCGAGCGGGACUGGGAGCGCUCAGGUCGACAGGCACGGUCUGAGGCCGCUGGAUCCCGGCCUCUGAGCCCACCGGGGCGAGUUGACCGCUAUGAAUUCCGGAGCCGCGUGCCUCUGAAGACCAAGUCGGCCUUAGUUUGUUCGCAGCCCACUAGCAAGUGCGGAGAACCAGAAGGAGCAAAAUACACAUCCGGACCCAGCUGCGAGCAAGCGGACGGGAAGGUGGAAAACCUCUCCCGCUGUAAUGUGGUCCAAGCCUCAUCGCCAGGGCAUUGACCACGGACCAGUAAACACAGCACAGUAAAGUGAAGGAAGCAACUACCGCCGGAGCAUAUGUGGGGCGAUGGUGCGGAUCCGCCCGGACUUCACCUGAAGAACGAAUAGGCACAGAGGCAUGAAGAAUUCAUCUUGCCGGCGCUCGCGUGCUUCUAAGUCCGCAGUAAAGUGUGCUUUAAUUGUAAGAUACAGGCAAGAUCCAAAAGCUUAAUAUGGAGAUGUUAAUUAUAAUUUCACAUUAAAUGAUAUUAUAUAUAUAUA